UCGUGCAGUCAGCUUCUGAUGGCAGAUCUGAUUUGAUCUCCUUCUUCGAUCACCUCAAACUUUUUUGAUAUCAAAUAUGGAUUAGAAGAGGAUGUUGGAUGGUGGAGGAAAAAUAGAUGAAGACUCUCUUCUCUUUGGUUUUCCCUCAUCCAGAAAUCCUAAAAUAGUUCUAAGAGGAGAUCGGUCUCCUCCAUUGUUCACGCCAA
rnacentral:lncRNA from 1 species